rnacentral:tRNA from 1 species
GCUCCUAUAGCUCAGGUGGAUAGAGCGACCGCCUUCUAAGCGGUAGGUCAGAGGUUCGAGUCCUCUUGGGAGCACCA